rnacentral:lncRNA from 1 species
AAAAUUUAAAAAAUAGCCCGCGAAAUUCAAAAAAGGCAACCCAAAUUCAAAAUUAUUAUAUUUCCCUCUAAUUAAAAUUAUGAUGGUUGUGUGACUGACUAUAUCCAUCAUAGGUUAUAAUUGGUAUUAUUCUGUCAUCAAUUCUUGACGCUGGCUACAAUGACGGUAUGACCAACUGUCAUCCACCCCAUACUAUGACAGUUUUUGCCUGUCAUCGUAGGUACUUUUUCUUGUAGUGUGUGCGUACAUAAGUCUUGGAAACAUGGGUUCUAUUUUGCCUAUAAUCUUUAGCCCCCAAGUUAUAUAAGCUAGUAUUUAAACCAGUAUUAAUGUCAAUAAUGGUAGGCUGAAAUAUUUUAUUUGGCAAGUGAGUAGUUGUAAUUGGAGGUAUUUGGUCUCUCAAAGUACAGAAUACAUGUUUAUGGACAUUUGAGUUUUCUCGAAUUAACUCAUUUAUCACUUGUUUUUUUAUUUUAUUUUGUUUGAUUUCUUGUUGUAGACAAUUUGUGUCUAUAACAUUUGCAAUGAUAAUCUAAAAAUUAAUUUUUUAAGUAAUUUUAUUCUUAAGUUAUCUUUAUCUCUUUUGAGUUCUUAUCAUAGGUUGUUUUGACUAAAUAAAAGUCAUUGUUGUGCAUGCAUAAUCGUAGCGAGCAUGGGUUUUAUUGUGUCCAUAAUCUUUAGGCCCAAGUUCUGGAAGCUAGUAUUUAGACUAGUAUUAAUGUCAACAACAAUAGGCUAAAAUAUUUUAUUUGGCAAUUGAGUAGUUGUAAUUGGAGGUAUUUGGUCACUUAAAGUACCAAAAACAUGUUUAUAGAGGUUAUGGUUUCUUCAAAUUAACUCAUUUAUCACUUGUUCUUUUUAUUUUGUUUGAUUUCCUAUAUUGUAGACAAUUUGUGUCUAUAACACCUACAACAUUACUCUAAAAAAAUAAUUUUUUAAGUAUUUCAUUCUUAGGUUAUCUUUAUCUCUUUUGCAUUUUUAUCUUUAGUUAUUUUGACUAAGUAAAAGUAGUUGUUGUACUUACAUAUUUAUAGGAAACAUGAGUUCUAUUGUAUAGUCAAUCGGCCAAAGUUUUGUAAAUUAGUAUUUAUAACUGCAGCAAUAUCAAUAAUGAUAUGUUGAAAUAUUUUAUUUGGC